rnacentral:lncRNA from 1 species
GUCCUAACAAUUUAGUAGCUACUUGAAAAAUUAAUGCCCGUAAAUUUCAGCAAACAGUAUUUAUUGCAUUCUGAGCUCAUCGCAGCAACUCCCGGGGUGCAAUUCCACUGCGGGGCAGGGUAGAGCCUGCUCGGACCCUGCGAGACUCAUUCUCUGGUCCACACUGACUUCCAUGAAGUGUCCAGAGUUUUUCAGGGCAGCCCUGAGAGCCCAGCUUGGCAGAGAUGCUUGGCAAAGCAGGCACCACGAGCUGCAGGUCUCGGGUGUCCCCGACGUGGGCAGCAGUGUGAGUGCAAACCGUCUCCCAGCACCCUGUGAACACACCGAGGAGGCACAGGUGCCCAGCACGGAGCUGCCUCCCGGGAGGCGGCAGGGGGAGGUAAGUGAUGGUCAGGAGCUCGCCCGGUCCAGGGGCUUCCCUUCCUCUACACUGGGUUCUUCUUCUGAGGAGGAGGAGGGUGUGGGAGGGGCAGAGAGGACACUCUGGGGGUUGCAUCCCCAGCCCACCAGCAGCCUCUUCUAACCCGACCCUUUCUCCAACCUGUGUGCCAGCUGCACCCCGAGUGGACCCUUCCUGGCCAACUUCCUGCUUGGUGGAGUCCAGGCCUGGGUUUCCAACCGACCUACAGACCCAAAUUCUGAAGCCUAGACCUGGGAGGCACCGGGCCGAGGGCCCUUCCUGUCCAGAGUCAGCAGGGUUUCCUCUGCCAGGAGCCCCGGAGCCUCCCCGGGAGCCUCCGCCCACACAGGGCUGCUGGCCAUGCCGCAGAGGCAGGAUCACAAGCUCUCUCCCGAAGGCUGCCCUCACGUCUGCAGGGAGGUGGAAGCACACCCAGGAGGAAGGGGAAGGAAGCCCUGAGCUGAGCUGCCACACCCGGGCACAGGCGGCCAGGUGGCCCUGUCUGGUCCGUGUGCCCCAGAGCAGCCUCGUUCGCAGAGCAGACCCGUGUCGCGGGGAGCGAGGGGCUGCUGUCCAGUGGGCUCACAGCUUCCGUUCUGCAGAGGGCCCUGGACGGGCAGCGGCGCCCAGCAUGGGGCGUCCCUCAGAGAAGGGGGCUGUUUGGAGGGGAGGCCCGCCCGCCGGAGCAGCGGGUACCGAGGACAGAAGCCGCCCCACCCGCCUCGGGGGGCGGGGAAGGUGACACCCAACCCCUCCCCUCCCGUCACUCCAGUGCCUGUCUCGCAGGAUAGAAACCCGAGGCUCAGCAGGUGGCUGGAGGAGAGGGCAGCUGCAGUGCGGGGUCUCGCCUGCCUGGCUCCCCUCUGCCCUGGGAGGGCUCGCGCUUCAGUCAUGGCUCCCUUUCCUCAGGACAACUUGCCUCCGUGUCCUCCUGGGUCUCCAAGCCGCUCUGGCAGGAGCUGGCUCAGCUGUCGCCCAGGUCCCUCGCUGCCCCUGCUGCUCCACACGGUGGCCUCUCUGAAGAAGCGGCAGGGACCCCGCCCCUGUGUGUCGGUGGCCUGAGCAUCCUGACCUCCCCAAGCCCCACUGAGCUGUGUGUGAUGAACAGCCAGCCUCCUGGGGCCCCUCGUUUUGGCCCUGCUACUUUUAGCAAGACCUAACAGCUGUCAAUCAAACAGCUUGGGUCUCCCAGUUCCUCCACACUGUUGCCAUGACAGCCACAGCAUCCUGGGUGCUCCACACCUGCUCCAGGAAAUGUCUGCCCUGACUACAGUGAGUGUGAUUGUAACCAAGCAACAGAACGGAAAUCCCACCAAUCAGUGAGCUUGAAUCAGAAGGCUUGAACUCAGGCCAGUUUGGACCAAUCAUCAGCGGCCUGCUGCUGUAUAUAAGCAGCGCAAGGCCUACUUGCCCUUGGUCUAGAGGGCUCCUGUUCAGACAAACCUCACUCCAGGGGCCCUAUGAAUCCAGUCAGGAUUUAUUUCUCUGUAGUGAGGACUCAGAAGUCCUGUAAAUCUGCUCAAGGCCACCCGAGCAGUGUGAGCAGAAUGGCAGCUUUAAAAAGGGAUGCAAACAGCAGGGCUGUUGGUCCUGAAGAGCCCCAGACCAGCAGCCCACGCAGAUCAGGGCUGGAGUGGCUGCCACAGGGCCUCCCAGCGAGCGAGCUCCUCUGGCAUCAACCAGAGGUGGCCAGCGACCCACAGGGCACCAUUGGCCCCCAGCAUUAGCUGGCAGAGGUGAGUGGGGAAGCAGGGCACAGAGAGCGGACUCUCAGGGCCGAGGGACUUCGUGCCCCAAGCCGGAGCAGAGCUGCCUGUGCUGAUCCCUGAUUCCUGUCCCAACGGAGCCAAGAACCCGACCCCAGGGACAAGAAGGAGCCUAGCUCUCUGUCCUCACACCUGUCGGUCCUUUAGAUUUAAUUUCUGAGCCUGGCUCCUCCUCCUGCUGAGGUCUCCCUGUCCAGGGCACCCUCUCGAAGGCUUCCAGGCUGUUUUAACCCCUGCUGCGCACACAGCCUCCGCGAUCCGCCGCAGACUGGAGCCCAGCUCUGCGCCCUCCCAACGUCACUCGGGCUCCCUGGGCCUGAGCCAUGGCAGGAGGAGGCUCGCAGAACAGCUGCGCGCCAGGGCCGCCACGCCCAGAGCCCCGAUGGCUCCCCCACCUCCUGGGCACGCAGGGCCGGGCCCUCCCCUGCCUGUAAGGUUCUCCGCUGUUCUCCCUCCGACCUUCUCCGCGAGCCCAGCGUCCGGUCUGCUCAGCUUCUCCUGCCCAGGGAGGCCGCGCACUUCAGGCCACGCACACCUGCGGCUGCCUGGCUUCGGAGCCUGACACCGCAUAGAAUCCUGUCUCUCCUCGGAAUGCCCAGCGCUCUCUGUUGCAGGAACCUCCUGGCUCUUCAUGGUUGUCAGGCACCACCCACUGGACCAGGAGCCUGUGUGGGCCUGAGGAAUGCGGGCGGGAGGGGACCCUUCAUGCAGGGGCUCCCAGCUCUGCCGCCCCCAGCCUUCCCCAGGGAGCCUCGCUCCAGCUCCCAGGCUGCAGGGCUCCCCCUGUCGGAGCCCCGCCUUGAGGAAGGCCUCGCAACCUGUCGAUCGCCAGUGUCCCCAGGCCAGAGCGCAGCACAAGCACAGCGGCUCGCACGGAGCCCCACUGUGUCGCAGUAGCGCAGGGAGGUGCUCAGGGGUCAGCAGGACUGAGGCCAGCGGCAGGCGGGGAAAGCACAGUCGCCUCCGCUCCACAGCCCCAGCCCCACAGAGCAGCCUGAGGCCGGGUGCUCUGGGCCUGAUUCUCGGGCUGCUGCAGACCCUGCUUUUUACGUUCUUUUCCUAGCUGUUUCUGGUCCGCAAUGGUCGCUUUCCUCGUGGGGAGCCGGCAUAUGUACCUAACUCCUCCUCAUUCUUUUUAGCCCCCUUCCCUUCCCUCCUCAUCUCUUGAUUCCUCCUCAUUUGCAAAAGGUCUAUCUUCCUGUUCGGUGUUAUCUUUAUUUCUUUUUAUAAUUAUUUAUACUUUGGCUUUCUCACAUAAAAGAAACCAUGUGAUAUUCAAGCUUGUCUGAUUUAUUUCCCUUAAUAUCAUGGCCUCCAGAUUCAUCCACUUUCCUCCAAAUGACUCAAGUUUAUCCUUCUUCGGGGCAGAGUAGUACUCCAUUGUGUGCAAAUACCAUGCUUUCUUUAUCCAUUGAUCUGUUGACCAACACUUAGGCUGCUUCCAGGAUUUAGCUGUCAUGAGCUGUGCUAAGCGAAUUCUUCUGUUCAUGUUUACUGACUACCAGCCAAGGAGACUCCAGAGUACAGGAGAGGCAGGAACAGUUUUUAAACACAACUGCAAGCAAACAGCUGGCACUUCUUGGGGCUGGGGAUCAGGCCUGAUUCUUGGAAUCAUUUCAGAUGCUGGUUGGUGGUUGGAGAAAAUACAUCAUGGUGACUCAGGGGACCUGGAGCUCGGUGUUGGAGCAGGGACGAGGGAAAAGCAUUCUAGACAGGGAACAGAAGGGCGGGACCGGAGGCCGCUCGUUAAAUGCUGAUGAAGGAUUUGAGAAAGGCUUUACGGCAACUCCAUGUUCCCCAGACCCCAGCACAGGUAGGGUAGGAGUUAUGAAGAGGCAGAGAUCAAAGUGCGGCGUCAGAAAGAAACCUCCCCUUGGCUUCAAAUGCGCAGGAGGAAUGUGUGUGAAGGCACAGGGCACUUACAUUUGUGCAUCUCGGAAGGGGCUUUUUACGAAGCCUUUCAUGUCCCUUCUCCUUUAAGCUUUUAUAGUGUGGCCGAAAUGCUGACCCCAUUUCCGGCGUGGCUCUUGGCUUGGCGCUGAUGAAGCUCCCUUCUGGGCUGCGAGUCCCCCUCUGGGGCCGGAAUUGCAGAGAAUGCGGUUUCAUUGCGGCUGCUCAGACGCGCGAGUGUCAGGGCGGAAGAGGCGGGGUCUGAAGCGCAGCAGCCAGGCGUCGGCUCCUUUCUCUCAACUGGAACUGGGAAGGAGAGAACCCGCUGUGCCCACAGUGGGUCCUUGCCACCCGUGCCACUGCCCACUUUUCUCCCAGCUUCGUCCCCUCCAGGCUGGGACUGCAGGUGGAAAGUGCUCGAGGUCUUCAGGUCUUGAGCAGUGAUCGCCCUGAGCACCCGCACCGGGUACAUGAGUGCUUCUCUCGGCUCUGGACAGAGCUUCCUGGGGAGCCUUGGGGCCCCGCUGGUUUCUCCCCGGGCUCUUAUAAAGCCAGGUGCAUGGAAGGAAGGGACACAAGGCCCUCUGCCUGGCCCGGGCUCCCCCUUCCUGCGCAACCUCUACAGGGGACUCAGGUUCCCUCAGAGGAGCUGGGUAGGAGUGGGGCUGGGGACAGCGACCCUCGAGCUCGGGGACACUGAGGUUGCACAGGGGCGCGGGGGACACCUGCCUCCCACACUGGGCCCCAGAGGAUGCUGGGGCUCGGUCUCUGGGGGCGUCAGCUCUCGGAGAACAAGAGGUCUGUGGUGACAUGUGCAUCACGGGCCCAUCACAGAGGCGACGCUUGCUCUGGCGCCUGAGCGGCAGAGAGAAAGAACAAAAGAUGCCCUGGGGGCCGAUCGGACGCUGGAGCCACCUGAGCCCGCGCACCGGCCCGGUGGCCGGGAACCUGCAGAUGUUCAGAGAAGAAAGAGUCGGACAUCACAGAGCAAGGCUGCUCUGUUGUAAGGGAAAUGAGAAUACAGCAGAGUCCUUGGGCACUGAGUCCAUGUACGAUAAAAUGACCAGCAGCUGAAACACACAGGUAAAAAUGUAUGGAAAUGCAAGACGCAGCAGCGCCAGAAGUUGGAAGGCAAAGCAUCCAGGCCUCGGAGUCUGGGCCUGCACCCCACGCCAGUGAGGUGCUGAGCCCUCCCGGGGGCCUCGGGGGCUGGGUGUCCCCAAGGCCUGACUCCUGGCCCACAGCAGAGCUGAGCUCCAAGCCAGGGCCUCUCGAGGUCUGUGGUCCUGCCCGGGACGAGUCCUGGAGCCUGGGCUUCGAGCAGAGUGGGAGAGUGUCAGACACAAGGACACAUCCAGCCACGCUGUGAAGGAGGAAGGACAGAUCUAGCGUUAUAGAUAGGUGCGUUCUGGGAAAAUACACAACAGCCCACUUACCUGUGGCUUUGAUUUCCACGGUUUUGGUGACCUUAGGUCAAACAGGGUUUGAAGUGGUCAGUGGAGAAUUCUAGAAAUUAGCAGCUCAUGCUGCCCUCUCCUGGCUCGCUCACACGAUGAGGACCCAGGCCUCGGCCGUUCCCCAUUCUGGCAGGGCCCAUCCUUCGUCCUUGGAUGCCGGCUGCCGAGCAGGAUCAGGCUGAGGCCACACGGUUGCUGUGCUGUGUCCACAGAGCCCUUUAUGACUUAAAAGCACAGGAGUCGCGGGCCAAGGGGGACCCAGCACAGGAUUCGGGGAACCUGGCUCUGAGGGGUGCAGCUUAGGGUUGCGCUGCCCGUGGGUCUGGGAACAGAUCCCCUGUGCGCGGGGGACCCCGGUGCCUCUCUCACCCCUUCUUCUCGAGCUUUGAAGAAAGGCGGCGGGCCCAGAGCAGGCGGUGCCCAACAGCUAGGUCCCACCCGGGCCCGAGGGGAGCAGCAGCUUUUGGCAGACUGCGGACGGUGGCGGAGGGGUGGGCGCUGCUGUCUGUCGGCUGCACAAUGAUGCGAGUGGGCAGGGCCACAAAGAAGGCGAGAAGGAUGAAUUUCAAUCCGUGUGUUUUUCACCGAAAGGAGGAGAGGCUACCGCGUGGAAAUGCUUCGACCAAAGGGAGGGCCACAGGGCAGGAGACUUGGGGUCCAGAGGGCUCCCGGGCUGAGGGGAACAAGUCCGGGCAGCGGAGCCCGGGGGCCGGCGUGCACCCUCCCGGCCGCCGCUGACAGGAGGCUCAGAGAGGAGAGCGGGGGCAUUCGCCGGGGCUUGGCCUCACCCCAGGCCCUCACCAGCAGGGAGCAGCCUGAGGCUGAGCUAUAACCACACAAAAACCGAGCAAGACCCCUACUCCUGGGGACCGAGCGGGGCCUCACGAUCCAAGCAAAUACAAGAUGAACCGAGACAGACAGACAGACGCACGGGAGCCUCCCCUUCCCCACGGCCAGGAAAGGGCGCCCGGCCAAGGCCGGGCUGCAGCUGCUGUGGCCCAGGAGCUGUCUGCCAGUUGCGGAUGCGCCACCUGCUGGCCGCUCCUGCAGAGGCUCAGGGAGUGGUGCCUGCCGGGCGGGGCCUCCACUGAGGGCCAGGUGGGACCCAGGGCUGGGCAGCCGAGAAGGACACCUGUGGCCCACGCCAUCGCUGUGCACGCAAACCGUGUGUCGACAAAGCACAGCGACUGAGAGCCUCGAGCCAGCGCUGACCUGCAAGCCUGGCCCUGCCCACUGACUGCGGAGCCCAUGGCCCUGGCUCCCAAGUGCCUCAGCUUCUUCUUCCUCCGAGCAGACUCAUCUGUCACCGCUUCUCCAAGAGACCUCUUCCUUCCCACAGAGCCUGCUUCCAACUGCGGUGAAAAACUUGCUUCCAUCAUUUCUCAGAGGGAGUCAGAAGGGCAGCAAAGAGCCCAGCGCUGGACUAGCAGGAAACCGAGCACGCCAGAGCUGCCUGUGUGGACUGGCCUCCUUGCACUGCGCUCCUUGCUCCGUCUUCAGUUCAGCCAAAACUGUCUGGCCGAUAGCACGGUUUAUUGAGUGACAGCCACUCUCAGGCCCUCUGAGCUGAGCAGAGCCCUGAGGACCAGCAGUUAGCUGGUGGGGAAGCAGUCUUGCCACGGAAUGAGAGCUUCAAGUUAAGGAAGAGUCGGCAGCACAUUCCCAGGGUCAGGAGGCCAAGACAGACCCGGGCUUCUCAGUCUGUGCCGAUGCUUGGAGCAGGCGGGGCUGCCCCUGGAGCCUGGCCGCCCUCGGCUCUGUGUUCCCAGACAGAGUGGCCCAAGGCAGCUGCUGGGAGACUCGGUCUGCUCUCCUCACGCUUCUGAGACACUGGCAACACCCUCAGGGCUGGCCUUCGACUCUGCAGUGUAAAGCAGGGCACUGCUGGGUGACCUUCCGGUGUUCACUUCCACAGUCCGCCCGGGCCCAGGCCAGGCCAGGGGGGAGGAGGCAGAGGGGCGGCGUCAAUGGGAUGCUUCCGGCCCUGACCAGAGCAGGGUGCGUGAAGAGGCCCCUCUGCUCCCAGCCUUGCUGCCCCUGCUGUUCAGACCACACUGAGAAGGUAGCACCCGGCACUCCUGCCGCCAUCGGUGACACCAAGGAAACGGCACCACAGAGCAGAAAAGCCCGAGUCAUUGAGGCCACAGCACCAACUGGCACGUUCCACCUUCACACUUCGGGGAGGAAGUCCCUACACUUCAACUGCUCUAACAGGAGGUAAUUCAAAGAUCUUAAUUCUUUACCCAGUGGCCAGCCACUCCAUACUCAGCCUUCCUGACAACGCAGAUUCUUUAGAUUCCUGCAUGGGUGUGGAAAAGACCCAAGACAAAUCCUUUUGACUAUGAAAAUGUGAAGCCUGGAACCACCGCAGCCAUUUUGCCACCAUGAGGCAGAUCAGGCUUUGUCUGAAGCUGACACCACAGAAGGACAAACUGAAAGACCAGAGAAAGCUGAGUCCAUGGAAACAUCAUGGAGGUGCUGGCUAAGCCUAGACUUCAACCAGUAGUUACAUGAGCACAUAAGUCUCCUCUAUGAAAGCUGCUUGAGCUAGGAUUUCCACUCUUUGCAACUUCUGAAGGCAUUCUGCCUUGAGGUGCGUCCUAUCCAGACUCUUAGGCAACAGCAAGGAAGAAGCCAAGUAAUCUUUUAGGAGGAGACUGGAAACUCCCCUCCCUGUCUCCAGCACACAAGGUGGCCGUGGGGUUCCGCACCCUCCUGCAUCAGAGCUAGCGGGAAGCAAGCUGCGUGUCAGAGGUCCCACGCCGUGUGCCCGCCCAGAUUCCCUUCCAGGUGGAGGCGCUCGUGGGAGCUCCUGGGGAGAGGCCAGGUACAGUGCAGUGUUUCCCACACUCAGGAAGUGCUGGCUGUGGUGACUUCCGGGAGCCCCAGGGACUAGGUUUGUGCUGAGGAGCCCAGGCCUCCUGCUGAGGCCCCAUAAUCAACGAAGGAGGCACCAGAAGAGCGCCUGCCCGGAAGGCCCACCGCUCCCUGGCCCCCAGCCCUGCCUGCAGAAUUGCUCACGUCAGGACAAGUGGGUGAAAGCUUCCCUCAGCCGGGAGCCAGAGCUGACCACUCUGAGACCCGCAGCCCGGCACUGCGGGCUGGGGCUGGGCACUCGCACUGGGGCGCCCACCUCACCCACGACCCGGGGAGAGCAGUGUGGACUGGUGAACCCAGAGGGGGGGAGGGGCCAGGAACUGGGGACAGGCUGCUCGGGACUUCAUCUCUGGGGACUGCACCACAAAGGAGCGGUGUUCAGCAAUCCAUGCCCUUCCUCGGCAAAGACUCAGAAGUGGGGCCCCGGAUGCCCAGUGCCGGGGAGGAGCAGGGCUGGGACCCGGCCAGGGGGAAAUUCUUAAGGUAACCAAGAGCGGCGAGUAACUCGGUCAGAAGAAUCCACUGUCACUGCCAAGGAGGAAGGUGGCCAAGACUCCAGAGGGAGGGGAAGUGAGAAGGGAGCAACACAGUGAUAAGAAGAGAAGAGAUGUUCAUUUUUAAGCAGGAGAUAAGAUGUGGAUUAAAGUUCAUCCCCGAAUCGAGGAGCAAGAAAACCGACUCCCAACCGGAAAGGCCCCUGUUGCUGGAUCUCUUUGAGUUAUAGGGAAAACUAAUUGGAUCUUCAUGUUUACCAUCCAGGAGGCCGAGGGCUGGGCAGGAUGUAAAUCCUGGAGGUUCUUUAAGAGGACAGGCGUGACCUUUACAAGCCUCUGCAUGGAUAGAUCUGUAAGGAGACAAAAAUUGAUUUCCUGACCUCUGACUGCUCCCCGUCAUUUCUCCUGCUUUCUCCGCACAAGGGCCCGGCCCUGCGCAAGCUCUUCCUGGUGCUGUUUUUCUGGCUGUUCCCUCUGUCCCCAGGGAGGGAACCAGUGGCUGUCCAGCCCGGCCUGGGAAGAAGCCACCAGCCCCAGAGCAGCCCUGGGGCCCCGCGGUCUGUGGGAGCCACCUCUUGGGGCGUCCUCCGGCCCCCACUGAGUGUUGCCCUCGUGGGCACAUGGCCCUACGUCGGCGGUCCCCGAACACCCCGGGCUCUGGGACGCGCGGCUGCACUCACCUCCGAGUCAGGAAAGCCCUGCCGCCCGCCUUCCUCAGCCGCCUGCCUGGGAGCAGAGGACGAAGGGAGGGCAGUGCCCAGGGGGCUGCGUCCAGCGAUGCCAGGGACGCUGAGGCUGGGUGCAGCGUGAGGUCGCUGGUGCUCGGGACGCGGGCCGGGAGCCCAGCCCCUCCGUGGCCCACUCCUGUUCCCCAGGCCGCAGUCACCAGCUCCCUGGCAUCACCAGGGACGAUCUGAGUCCAUGGGGACAGGACGGGAUUCAGGCACCUUUGGUCCUGGCCAGAAGUGGGGCUUGAAGGGGACAGAGGCAGACACCCCGGCAAACCUUGCCUGAGAGCGGCGGGCGAGGCUGCUCUGCCCGACUCAGCCUCCACGUCUCCGAGCACCCCAGGCCCGAGCGGCUUGGCCCAGAGGCGCCUGUGUCGCCUGGAUGGCUGAGAGUGUCCCGAGUCCGCUCUGGCCAGGGCUCCUGUCAUGGCUUCGACCAUUGCGCUUCCAUUUGCCUGGCUGACCAUAGGCCCACAUUUGAACAGAUCCUGGGGAGCUUCCUAUCGGUCCUGUAAGUCGAAAGUGGGAGUCGUUCCCGUAAGUAGAGGCGAAGUAACAGACAGUGUGAACAGCAGCAGCCCCGGCCCCGUCCAGCCCUGAGCCUGGGCUCUGCUGAGAGGAGCAGCGUGCGGGUGCCGGGACUGGCAGGGAGGCCGCCUCCGACCCGCACACCACCCGAGCCACUGGUGGGCGUCUCCCUCGGACUCCAGGCCAAUCUCCGGGCGACUCUGCCAUUUUCCCCGAACAGCUCAGCUCUGCACGAAGGAGGGAGAGAGCCACCACCCGGUCUUCGAGCUGGGGAGACUCACUUCUCAGGAACCCAGCUCCUCUGGGCUGCAGUGUGCACGCUCCAGGCAGGUGACGCUGUGGGCCCUUCGGGCCUGAGAGCCCAAAUCCCCUCACCAGACUUCGACCCUCGCUGGCCCUGGAGAACGGGCCUCGUGGAAGAUGCACGGUACCCGCUGGCCUCCCUGAGGGUCGGAAGCGACGCACUCACCCAAGAACACCCAGAUGGUAAAGGACAAAGAAGCCGGAUUUCUUUACAGCUGUGGUGCGCUGGAGUGGAGCCGGCUCGGAGGCAGUGGAGGGCUGUGGUUAGGAACUCGGACCCCGGAGCCAGCCAGGUCCCAGGCCUGCACCCCAUCCUCACCCCAGGCUCGAGUGGCUUGGGCGACCACAGCUGGCCGGGGCAGCCGGUGAGGAAGCACCCGACGCCUGUGCCCCCCGGGCUCUGUGCUCUGCUCUCCCCACCCUCAGAGCCUGCCCUCCAGCGUGGUGCCCGUGCCAGGCACUUCCCUGUCUGCCCGGCCCAGGUCCUUCGCCUGGUGCAGUCAACACUGCCAACCCACUGAGCAGCACACAGCCCUUUGAAGGAGGUGGAAGCAGCCUGUUUUGGCCUCGCCUGCAGGCGACUGCUGAACAACCCAGAGCCUGUUGUGUGUAAGGACGCCCUGGGGCGGCACACGCUCUGCGGGCCUGGGUGAGACAAUCCUGCUUGCUAAAUUAGGACGGGGAAGAGCAUGAUCUCCCAUUCCUGUUUCAUUUCACCCCGGGAGAAGGCCGGGAGAGGCCGUGUGCUUCCCGGCCGGCCUGCUUUUCUUCUGCCCCCGGUCUGCGUGUGUUUACCAGUUAGACUCCAGGGCUCCCUAGCAACACGCGCGGGGCGAGCCCCUCCUGAUAGCCCGAAGACGGAUGAAUUGCUGAUGAGAAGGAUCCAUGAAGUGUUUAAUUGGUUUAGUUAGAUUAUUUCCAGUCAACAAUUCCUGAGUUUAGUGGUAGAAGAUAGAUCUGUUUUCCGUAAACGUUAAAUGCCAAACUUUUGAAUCACUCCGAAUAAAAACCAUUCCCUUACAGAGCUACUCGCU